UCUCCAACUCCAACAGAGAAGAAUGACCACACAACACAAAGUUCUUCAGCUGGAUGUCCGCCUGGUAAAUGUGCCAAUGGCUGGAAAUCACAUGACAGACAGUGCUACUUCUUCUCUGAGAAGAAACUAACCUGGACUCAGAGUAGAGAUGAAUGUGUCCGUAUGAGGAGCCAUCUGGCAAUCAUACAUGAUGAAGAUGAGCAGAUAUUUUUGAUGACGGAAAUUAAAUCAAACAUGGAAACUCUUGACGACAAGUUCUGGAUUGGUCUGAAUGACAGAAAAAGAGAGGGCCAGUGGCUAUGGGUGGACAACACUACUCUCAAUACAUCAUUCUGGAUGAAAAACCAGCCUGAUGAUUUGAAGAGUUAUAUUAAUCCAGAUGGAGAGGACUGUGUACUGAUGGGAGAUAAAUACUUUGUAAUGAAUGAUGCAAAAGGCUGGUGGGACACAGCCUGUAAGACAGAGUGCAAAUUUAUUUGUGAAACUGAAACUUGUUAAUUAUCACAGUGCAUCAUACCUUUAUUGAUCACUGACUACUGAUGAUUGUCCAUUUGAAUUGCACCAAUCAGACUUUUUUAUUUCUGUUCUAUUGCCAAAUACCAAUUUUCACACAUUGCUAACUGAUAGAUCUCAUAGUCUAUCCAGUGUGUGUGUUUCCUUCCUGAGAAAUCAAAUAUUUACUAGAGAUGCACAGUGACGUCAUUAUCUGUAUCUGUAUCUUUUAAUACCACAACAUUAUCUGUAUCUGUAUUUCGGAUAGAAAAACGUUAACCAGGCACAUGCUGUAUUUUCUAACCUAAUAUUCUUUGGUAAUGCAAUUGGUGUGCUUUCAAUGCAUCAAAUUAAUCUAUUUUAUGUAUUUAGCAUAUCAUUUAUUGUGCAGCUAACGUUAGCGCUUCAUCUGUUAAUAUCGAAGGUAAAC